rnacentral:rRNA from 1 species
UACAGAGGGUGCGAGCGUUAAUCGGAAUUACUGGGCGUAAAGCGUGCGUAGACGGUUAUUUAAGUCGGGUGUGAAAGCCCCGGGCUCAACCUGGGAAUUGCAUUCGAGACUGAAUAGCUAGGGUACGGUAGAGGGAAGUGGAAUUUCCGGUGUAGCGGUGAAAUGCGUAGAUAUCGGAGGGAACAUCAGUGGCGAAAGCGACUUCCUGGACCAGUACCGACGUUCAGGCACGAAAGCGUGGGGAGCAAACAGG